CAGGGGGCGGGGCGGGGCGGGGCGGGCUCGAGGCGCGCGCGGCCGCCGGUGCAUGCGGCGCAGGCCCAGGCCCGAUGGCGACCACUAGCGCCAUGUCCCUGGGUAAUUACAGCAGCUUGAACCGGGCCCAGCUUACCUUCGAAUACCUGCACACCAACUCAACUACCCAUGAGUUCUUGUUUGGUGCCCUUGCUGAACUUGUAGAUAAUGCCAGAGAUGCAGAUGCCACAAGAAUAGACAUUUAUACUGAGCGACGAGAGGACCUACGAGGAGGAUUCAUGCUAUGUUUUUUAGAUGAUGGAACAGGAAUGGAUUCAAAUGAAGCUGCCAGUGUUAUCCAGUUUGGUAAAUCAUCCAAGCGAUCACCUGAGUCCACUCAAAUCGGGCAGUAUGGGAACGGCUUGAAAUCGGGUUCCAUGCGGAUUGGGAAGGAUUUUAUCCUGUUCACAAAGAAAGAUAACACCAUGACUUGCCUCCUCUUAUCACGGACGUUCCAUGAGGAAGAAGGCAUUGACGAGGUCAUCGUUCCCCUACCCACCUGGAACGCACGGAGCCGUGAACCCGUGACGGACAACAUGGAGAAAUUCGCUAUUGAGACGGAGCUCAUUUACAAGUAUUCCCCUUUCAAAUCAGAACGGGAGGUGAUGGACCAGUUCAAUAAGAUACGUGGUGAGAAAGGCACCCUGGUGAUCAUCUUUAACCUCAAACUAAUGGAUAAUGGAGAGCCCGAGCUGGAUGUGACUUCUGACCCUCAAGAUAUUCAGAUGGCAGAAACACCCCCAGAGGGAACCAAGCCGGAGCGCCGCUCCUUCCGUGCCUAUGCUGCUGUGCUUUACAUUGAUCCCAGGAUGAGGAUCUUCAUCAAUGGACACAAAGUACAAACCAAGCGACUCUCAUGCUGCCUCUACAAGCCAAGGAUGUACAAAUACACUUCAAACCGUUUCAAGACCCGUGCAGAGCAAGAGGUGAAGAAAGCAGAGCACAUGGCGAGGAUAGCGGAAGAGAAAGCUCGUGAGGCGGAGAGCAAAGCCCGUGCCCUCGAGUUACGCCUCGGAGGGGAUCUCACGCGGGAGUCCAGGGUGACAUUGCGUCAGGUCCAGAACUCGGCCAUCACCAUGCGGCGGGAGGCUGACGUCAAGAAAAGGAUUAAGGAUGCAAAGCAGCGGGCACUGAAGGAGCCCAAGGAGCUGAAUUUUAUCUUUGGGGUGAACAUUGAGCAGCGCGAGCUGGAUGGCAUGUUCAUUUAUAACUGCAGUCGGCUGAUCAAGAUGUAUGAGAAGGUGGGCCCACAGCUGGAGGGUGGCAUGGCAUGUGGAGGAGUGGUAGGCGUGGUGGAUGUGCCCUAUUUGGUUCUGGAGCCAACCCAUAAUAAACAAGACUUUGCUGAUGCCAAGGAGUAUCGACACUUGCUGAAGGCCAUGGGAGAGCAUUUGGCUCAGUAUUGGAAGGAUGUUGCAAUAGCCCAGAGAGGUAUCAUCAAGUUCUGGGAUGAAUUUGGUUAUUUAUCAGCAAACUGGAACCAGCCUCCAUCUAGUGAACUGCGCUACAAGCGCAGGAGAGCCAUGGAGAUCCCCACCACAAUUCAGUGCGAUGUCUGUCUGAAGUGGCGGACUCUCCCGUUCCAGCUGAGCUCAGUGGAGAAGAACUACCCUGAUAGCUGGGUGUGCUCCAUGAACCCUGAUCCUGAACAAGACAGAUGUGAGGCUGCAGAGCAGAAGCAGAAGGUACCACUGGGAACUCUAAAAAAAGACUUGAAAUCAAAUGAGGAAAAGCAGAAACAACUGACAGAGAAAAUCCGCCAGCAGCAGAAAAAGCUGGAAGCUCUGCAGAAAACCACUCCAAUUCUAUCUCAAGCUGACUUAACGAGACUGCCUCUGGAAGUGACUACACGGCCUUCAAGGGAGCACACCCGAACUCAGCGCCCACGAUCUCCUCCUUUGCCUGAUGUAAUCAAGAAUGCUCCCAGCAGGCCACCAGGAUCUUCACCUCCUCACAAGUCCUGCACUCACCUGAAAAAGAGCUCUUUAGAUCGUCCAAAUACCAGCUCCCCCAAGCUAGCCAGCAGGCUCUUCAAGGAGGAGGCCAGCACUUCCAGGACACACCAUCACACUGUGACAGCUGGGAAGUCCAACAGCACUUUAAAAACUCUUGCCAAACCAGGUACAAGCAUGAAGUCGCGCUCUGGCCAACAGAGCCCCAAAAGCUCACGUGAGACACCCAAUCCAAAAGCAGCCAAGGUGCCAGCAGUAAGGAAAUCUGCCUCUGGCAGAUGUUUACAGGCCUCCAGCACUCGAAAGAGGGCCUUGAACAUCCCAGAGGAUGGCUCUGAGGAGGAGGGUGAGCCCAAAAAGGAGAGGACAAAACGAGGAAAAUUUUUGGCAGUGAAAGAGGAGAAGGAUUCCAAUGAGGUGGUGGUAGAGCUCACAGACAGUGCUGGAGAGGAGGAGUUGUUGGAACUGAAGAAAGCACAGAAAGAUAAGGGGCUGCACGUGGAAGUGCGUGUGAACAAGGAAUGGUUCACAGGGCGUGUCACAGCAGUGGAAAGGGUCAGGCAUGCAAUCCGGUGGAAGGUGAAGUUUGAUUAUGUACCUACAGACACCACACCAAGGGAUCGCUGGGUAGAGAAGGGCAGUGAGGAUGUAAGGCUUAUGAAGCCUCCCUCUCCUGACUACCAGGCUCCAGACACACAGCAGGAAGAGGAGGUGGUCAUGGCUGAACCUUCUACCUCAGAUUGCAUCAGAAUCGAGCCUGACACCACUGGUCCCAGCAGCAGCCAAGAAACAGUUGACUUACUAGUCCAGAUCCUUCGGAAUUGUUUGCGAUACUUCUUGCCUCCAAGUUUUCCAAUCUCCAAGAAUGAGCUGAGUUCCAUGAGCUCAGAAGGGUUGUUGGCAUUUCCCCUGGUGAGUUCAGUACUUCUAGAAAAAAAGAAUAUUUUAAGCAGUAUGAGGUGGGUCUGCAGAACCUGUGCAAUUCAUACCAGACACGUGCCGAUGCCCGGGCCAAAGCCUGUGAGGAAAACCUCCGGAACUUAGAAAGGAAGCUGAGGGAAACAGAGGAGAAACUGCAGAAGUUGAGGACUAAUAUCAUGGUCCUUCUACAGAAAGUGCAGGAGGACAUUGAUAUUAAUACAGAUGAUGAACUGGAUGCAUAUAUUGAGGACCUGAUCAUGAAAGGAGAUUGAGCAGCUCCAGUACAAGUCCUGGAGAAGUGCAGAAGAGCUGGCUGCUGCAAAGCGAGAUGUGAAUCUCUGUGCGGGUGGACUGAGGCAGGUGAUGAGGAGAGAGUUUUUUAGACAGUGCUCAUGUUGGUGUACAACUUGUUCCUGUGGCUGUACAUGAGAAACAUUUGUGCUGUUGGCAGGAAAGUUUUUAACUUUGUAGUUCUCUGAAUCUCUUCCUUUUGUUUAUAAAUAUUUAUUUUUAAAAGAAAUGGGAACUGUGCCUGAUACAAUGGGUGUUUUUAGUGAUGUAGAAGUGUGAGUACCCCUUUUGCAACUCAAGUAUAUUCAUAUGCUGAACCUGGGAGCUCGGAGCACCCUGCUUAGCUUACUGGUUCUCCAGCAAAAACCUGGCAGCAAUUAAAAAAUAAGCCUUGAGUUGUGGCAGAGGGUGUCAGGCUUUUUUUGUGGAAGAUACUGAACUUGAGGUAGAGAAAGCAAAGCCAUGAAUUGGAGCUAUAGAAAGGAGAUGUCCAUUUAUGAGUGUGAGUAGACGGGAUGGAACUUUGGUGGAACUUGGAAAUUUGGCAAUGGCACCUGUAAUGAGCUUCCUGAACAGGAGGUUGCUGCAAGUGGGUGAAACUGCCACCAUGGUAAUAGCUAAGAGUCUGAGGGUCCUUCUAGAAGAGGAUCACCUCCUGGACUGCUCACAGUGGGCUGUGAGCAUCAGAGGAAGAAUGCUGGCCUUCGGGUUCUCUGCUUGCAGUCACUUUAUCACUCACUUCUGCUGCUGUUUCUUUGAGACAUAAUUACAGCAACAGAGGAGCUCCUCGUCCACCUGACAAUAAAGUGACCUGUGUUCUAUUUUCACCUCCUCAGGUUUGUGUUGCUUUGAUCAGUUUGCUCUACCAGGUAAUUUUAUUAUUAGAGAUUUCUAAUUAUUAGAGAGAGGCUGUUUGGGGCCUUUGGAGCCGUACACCGCUGAUUGGCAUCUGGCACUGUGCCCGCAGCAAGGAAAACACCUGUCCCUUAUCCUUCAGCAGCCAAGUCGUGGUAGGCAACUUUUGGCCAAGGGAACUCGGUCAGAGUUUGUCAGCUGGCCAGCAGCUUCUCAGGCCUGCUAGGACAAAGUGUCUGUGGACUCCUGUUCGGAAACUGGAGUCCCCUGUGGGCUAGAUGGUUGUAAACAUGGUGUAAAGCAAGAGGUACCCACUAACAGAGAGGUUAGGUGGAAUGGACCCUGGGUGUUGACACCUGGAUGUGUAAUAGAUGUUUUGCAGCAAACCCUUCCAAAUUAAAUAUCUGUUACACCAAAAA